CACCGCGUGUUACUCCGUGAUAUUUUAACAUAACUAGUUUCAUACUAUCACGCCGUAACCCCGGCGCGGAUUAGUGACUUUCGCAUGCCUUAUGCUGUGUCCAUGAUUUAGAAUUGAAUGAUAGAAAAUUGGGAAUUUCAAACAGCAUACCUAUUGUACUUACUAACCAAAGCCGAUAUGAUGAAUCGUUUAGUUCACUGACAAAUUUCCUGUUAAUAUUUUUCAGUUAUGUUAUUUUGUAAUUUAUUAACUAAAUUUCCUGAUCAGUGACAUUUUCAGUGUAGCUUCAAAUCGGAUGGCGAAUACGAAAAAAUGGAGAAAAAGUGGCGACGGCCAUUUUGUUCAAUGAUUUUCGAACUGCACUAAUUGUUUGAUAACUCCAUCGAACGACCUGCUCAUUACAUGCAAUGAUUUGGAUAGAAGAACCGUGGGUAGCUUAAAAAAGUUUCCAACUUCACCAGAACGAUUGGACUAGAACGGACUCAGCCAGGAGAAUCGGGUUAUCCUAACAGCUACCCAAACGCUUUCGAGGGAGACCUGACAGUUCAAGAGCAGCUUCUUCGCGCAUGUAUACUACUGUAUCUCAAUUACGACCGGCUGAGAAGAUCCAGCGAGAAACAUAGCAAGCUGAAUAGGUUUCGCGUCAAACUCAUCGUGAAGUUCGAAGAGUAAUUGCAACGGUUCAUUCGUAUUGCAAAUAACAACAUUGUUACAUUGGAAAUACUGUAGCAAACCUGAUUUACUUUAUCACAUGACCUCGCACCUUUGCCGAUUGGAAUGCGAACAAGAUAAAAUGUUAACCGAUUGGAAAAUACAUUGUUGGAACUUUGUUUUAUACACUGUUUUGGUUUUGAUGGUUUCCAUAAAAACGAAGGCAGCAGCUGGUAUUCCUGGUUCAGUACCAUUUUCAAGAUUUCCUGAAGGGCGUCUACUAGUGAUUUUCACAAUCUAGAUGACGAUAUUUACAUUAUUAAUGUCCAUUAGCUUCGGCCACCAAUUGAAGCUUAGUCGAUAAAAACAAAUUAAAAAUAAUUCGGAAACAAA